rnacentral:rRNA from 1 species
GACGAACGCUGGCGGCGUGCUUAACACAUGCAAGUCGAACGGUAAGGCCCCUUCGGGGGGUACACGAGUGGCGAACGGGUGAGUAACACGUGAGCAACCUGCCCUUGACUCUGGAAUAACAGUUGGAAACAGCUGCUAAUACCGGGUAUGACCUGUCAUCGCAUGGUGGUGGGUGGAAAGUUCUGGCGGUCAGGGAUGGGCUCGCGGCCUAUCAGCUAGUUGGUGAGGUAAUGGCUCACCAAGGCUUCGACGGGUAGCCGGCCUGAGAGGGCGACCGGCCACACUGGGACUGAGAUACGGCCCAGACUCCUACGGGAGGCAGCAGUGGGGAAUAUUGCACAAUGGGCGAAAGCCUGAUGCAGCAACGCCGCGUGCGGGAUGACGGCCU